rnacentral:rRNA from 1 species
UUAAACCUCUUCCAGAGUAUCAAUUGGAGGGCAAGUCUGGUGCCAGCAGCCGCGGUAAUUCCAGCUCCAAUAGCGUAUAUUAAAUUUGUUGCAGUUAAAAAGCUCGUAGUUGAAUUUCUGCUGCAUUACAUUUCUCUUGUUUGAGUUUGUUAUUGUGGCUUAUUUCGGAUUGAUUUUUAUCUUUCCGGAUGAUUACUUUGAGAAAAUUAGAGUGCUCAAAGCAGGCUUUUGCCUUGAAUAGUUUAGCAUGGAAUAAUAGAGUAGGACUUUGGUUCUAUUUUGUUGGUUUUAGGUACCAAAGUAAUGGUUAAUAGGAACAGUUGGGGGCAUUCGUAU